UCGUGGAGGUCCGAACCCACGAGCGUUGAAAAGCUCGGGGAUGACUUGUGGGUAGCGGUGAAAUUCCAAUCGAGCCCGGAGAUAGCUGGUUCUCCCCGAAAUAGCUUUAGGGCUAGCCUCAAGGUGAGAGAUACGGAGGUAGAGCACUGAAUGUCCUAGGGGGUAUUGCACCUACCGAAGACUAUCAAACUCCGAAUGCCGUCAUCUUAUACUUGGGAGUCAGACUGUGGGUGAUAAGAUUCAUAGUCGAAAGGGCAACAGCCCAGAUCGUCAGCUAAGGUCCCUAAAUGUAAGUUAAGUGGUAAAGGAUGUGGGAUUGCACAGACAACCAGGAUGUUGGCUUAGAAGCAGCCACUCAUUCAAAGAGUGCGUAAUAGCUCACUGGUCGAGUGAUCCUGCGCCGAAGAUUUCCGGGGCUAAAACUUACUACCGAAGCUACGGCAUCAGUAAUGAUGGGUAGGGGAGCGUCCCAUACGGGUUGAAGCAUGACCGUAAGGACAUGUGGACAGUAUGGGAGUGAGAAUGUUGGCAUGAGUAGCGAGAUGUGGGUGAGAAUCCCACAGGCCGUAAACCCAAGGUUUCCAGGGGAAGGUUCGUCCGCC
rnacentral:rRNA from 1 species